CCCAUGGACGAUGACAUUAGCUGCAGAAUAAGCACCGGCUAACUCUGUGCCAGCAGCCGCGGUAAUACAGAGGGUGCAAGCGUUAAUCGGAAUUACUGGGCGUAAAGGGAGCGUAGGUGGCUCUAUAAGUCAGAUGUGAAAUCCCCGGGCUUAACCUGGGAACUGCAUCUGAAACUGUAGAGCUAGAGUAUGUGAGAGGAAGGUAGAAUUCCAGGUGUAGCGGUGAAAUGCGUAGAGAUCUGGAGGAAUACCGAUGGCGAAGGCAGCCUUCUGGCAUAAUACUGACACUGAGGCUCGAAAGCGUGGGUAGCAAACAGGAUUAGAUACCCUGGUAGUCCACGCCGUAAACGAUGUCUACUAGUCGUUGGGUCCCUUGAGGACUUAGUGACGCAGCUAACGCAAUAAGUAGACCGCCUGGGGAGUACGGCCGCAAGGUUAAAACUCAAAUGAAUUGACGGGGGCCCGCACAAGCGGUGGAGCAUGUGGUUUAAUUCGAUGCAACGCGAAGAACCUUACCUGGUCUUGACAUAUCUAGAAUCCUGCAGAGAUGCGGGAGUGCCUUCGGGAAUUAGAAUACAGGUGCUGCAUGGCUGUCGUCAGCUCGUGUCGUGAGAUGUUGGGUUUAAGUCCCGCAACGAGCGCA
rnacentral:rRNA from 1 species